rnacentral:lncRNA from 1 species
AUGUUGGCAAAUCAAACUCCAAUAAAAAAAAUACCAAAAAAAAAAAAAGAAAGAAAAGAAAAAGAAGAAGAAGAAAAGAAAGAAAGGGGCAUGCUGCACCCCUGCCCCUCAGGCGGGGAGGGGCAGAGGGAGACGGUGGGUGUAAGGGGCGUGGCAGAGAGAGCCAGAGGGUCGGAUAAGGGUGGCCCCUUGGCCUGCCAUUCAGAGGACUGUCUGGGGGCGGGGGGGGGCCUGGCGGGAUGUCCUGAGGACCCGGGGCGCCCCGGGCCCAGCGCCCCCUCUGCCCCAGCCAGUGAGCCUCCGGAAGGCGGUGACAAGGAAAGGGCUCCCGACGCUGGCCCGGCCCAGGGCAGCCCCGAAACUGCGCGCAGGGCUGGGUGGCUGAGGGGGGGGCGGGGCCGGGGGUGGGGGCACGUGCACGCGGGCGGGGGCGGGGCGGGCCGAGGGCGGGGCCGGGGCGGGGCCGGGGCGGGGGGGGGGGGGGGGGGGGGGGGGGGGGGGGGGGGGCGGGGCGGGGGGGGGGCCGGGGGCGGGGCCGGGGGCGGGGCGCGUGCGCGCGGGGCUCGGCCCGGGAAGGGCGUGCGAACCGGGAAGCGCGGGCGGCGGCGGCCCUGGGCGGGGCCGGGAGGCGGAGCUCGGCCUGCGGCCCCUCGGAGCCCGGACUCGCGGUGGCCGGGCGGCCGGGGAGGCGGCGGCGGCGGCGGCGACAGUAAGUGCGGGCCUGACCCGGCCGCUCUUCAGGCCCCGGCCGCGCCCCGGGCUCGCGCGCCUCGGCGCCCCCCUCCCCCCCGCCCCCGGGGCGCCCCCCCCCACCCGGCGCCCUCCCCGGGCAUCCCAGCCCCUGGACGGCGGUGCCUCUGGCCCAGUCCCUCCCCGUCGUCCCCCCUCUUCCUCCCCCCGCCCCAGUCUUCCCCCUUCUGGGUCGCUCUGCCCUUUCUGCCCCUGAUUCUCUCCCCGCCUCCUGCCCCUCCUCAUGGAUUUCCUGGCGCGGGACCUGACCGCGGGGUCGCGGGGGGCCUGGGUACCGUGAGUCAGCCCAAAGUACCCAGAAGCUGGUGA